GAGUUUAAACAGGCUCAGAUUACAAAAGCAUUCAGUAACUUGCUUCAGCUUACUCGGAUAAUAAAACACAGUUAAUGUAGACGAUACUACCUUGUAAGAUUUCAAGUAUCUUCUGACUCACCAUGAAACAAUUUAGGAUUUAACUGAUGAUAUUACCCAAAGAAUCCCAGCAGCAAAUCAGAAUUAAUACAGCCGUAAAGCUGUGCAAAAGACAGGUCUAUCCUCUCAUUAGUGACGGAGUGUGUCACGAGAAUAUGAAAAGCUGACCUGUAAAAAAGAAUCUGCCAAGAAGCAACGACUGCAGCACACAGAAGAGGACAGGUAUCAAACAGAGAAGAGGAUCAUGCUCAACUAUACCGUACAAGUCAACAUAACAUCAAACUGGAAUGUGGUGGGGCAAACGAUGAUGCUAACUUUUUUGGCCAUAUCUUUUAGGGUGAAACUUAAAAUUAGCAUGACCUAGUGAGUAGCAACUGCAUACAUGCAUAAAAUCUGGAUUCUAUUUCUGUACCAAAUUUACUACACCAUUUUCAACAUGUUACGUCACAUAUAUACAUUGCUGUUUUCCCAUCCCACUGUCCUGUAGCCAUUAAAACAAAGUGAGAAUACUGGAUGACUUUUAAAUGAACACACAGCUGAUUACGAGACCACAACUACGCACAGACAGAAGUCAAGCAUGAUGUAAAUAAUCUCAUCUUGCUUACUAACAUCUUUCAAAAGGGUUCUAAGCAAAACAGCCAGCAAUAUUUUAAGUCAUUGGUCAACAUGUGGAAAAAAGAAGACCACAGUGUGCUAUUUUGUGCUGCAUGAAUAGGGAAGCUCAGUAAUAGCAAAACAAACAAACAAAAAAACCCUCCAGUUGUAUAUACCAAAUAUGCAUUUUUUUCCCAACAAAAGGGCUAAGUUUCAGCAGGAUGCAAACUGUUUUGGCUUUUUUUUAUUUUUAUUUUUUAUUUCAGUCAGAUCUCACAUAGGUAAAUACAAAAAGAAACUUUUGAAACAAAUUAAGCACAAAUUAAAAUGCCAUCAUGUAAGACCAGCUGGAUAUUAGAGGCGGAUGAUAAGGAAGAGAAAGGUCUCGCCAAAGUUUCUGAGGGCCACAGCAAACAUCAACUGCUACUAUACAGUAACUCUGACUGUUAUAAAAGCAGUAAGAAUCAGUUCAAAGCCACUGCUGGAUGGCAGCAAAAAAGGAACACCUCUGCCUUUCACCAUCACCAACACAACCUGGAAGAACAGACAGUUGUAAGCCGCAGAAAACAACCCGCAUGAUGGCAAUCGGAUAGCAGCAAUGGUAAGAAGAAGGUCAGUGCUACCAGCUUCCUUCUUUCUGUGCCUCACAAAGUACGAGGUGGGUGAGGAAGGGGCUGUGGACACGAUACGUAUGUACAUAAGAAACUAUUCAUCUUUUCUAACAGCUGCAGAAGAUGGACACGUCAGUAACCUGAGGUUAAUCCCAAAAACUAAUUCUGUCACAGCCCAGCAGGUACUCAGGACAAAGAACACAUGCUGGUUUCUAAGUAUAUUAGGAGGAGGAACUCUCUGAAACACAGGAAGACAUGUCUAUGGUUUUUGAAUCAAAGUACAAGCAAGAAAAAAAGCACCCCUUCCUCCACUCCACUAGAAGAAAAUGUUUUGUCACGGUGUCACCAGCAGCAUUGGGAUCAAAUGGCUGUGCGAGGCCCGGUUGCAUCAGCCCAGCCAUUCCAGACUCCAAAGUACAGUCAGCAUGUGCUGGAGGUGCAGCUCACCCAUGCCACAGCUGCACAAUCCUAGGUCACACUCCUGGCAAGGCUCCUACACUGCAGGAGGCACAUAUCUGAGGGCUGCUGGAAUUGGUAUUUCUCACCCUAAGCCGAAGACUGUGGUGUCUGGGUUAGGGCUGUGGGAUUUUUGAGGAGGGUGGCAUGGAAGAGAGGGGUUCUAAAGCAACUGGGCACUGAGAGCUGAUCAGUGCGCAUUCAUAGCAACAUAAGCAGAUAUCUACAAGUAGCCUUGCACACGAGGAUGCUCAAACAGCUGGAGACAAACACUGGAACACAGGAGUUCAGCUAAGUGCUGAGUUUUAGUAGGUAAUUACCUCAGCCUCCAUUAUCAGAAUGUUUGUACAAUACUUCAGCACUCAACUGUUCCAUGCUGGUGUAAUGCUGUCCAACUUUUGUGCUUCCACCUGACAGUCAUCACUCACAAUGAAGGAGUAUUUCUUUGAGGAGGCAGCCAAAGUUUUCAAGUUUGGCUAACCUCAUACGUUUGCUGCACUGAUUCUCUGAGCUGACACUUAACCUUAAUGCAGGUGAGAAUGCAAAGCAUGCAAACAAAAGCAAUCAAGAAGUAGGCACGAAGUUCUACUAGAAUUCUGAACACUACAAAAUGUGAACACUAAAGCCAUCACAGAUCCCACUGUACUCUCCAACUUUAAUAAAAACUACAGACUGCCUACACAUCAGUUCCUAUCUGCUUCAGAACAGUUUCUGAUGGGCACUGCCGCUGAAUUUAUUGGAAGAGCCCUUGUUGCACUAUGGUAACAACAAAAACACUCUUUAAUAUUAGACUAAAUUUCAGUAUUUCUUGAGACUUUAUCAAAAGAAUUCCGGUAACUCUUACAAAAUAGAAAACAGCUUUGUUAGAGCAUUGAAAAGAAUGCAAAAAAAAGGAAACAGUUGUUUGUUUUUAAUUAAAGACUUCAACAAAGCAAGAUUACAUUAAAAAAAUGCAACAACCUUAAGUAACCACAUUUGAGAAUUGAAAAUUGAGAAUCACAACAAAAUGGUCAAAGGUUCCUAUUUUUUCUUUCAUUAUUAUUUUUUAGAAUUUCAAACCACUGUAUUGUUCAAAGGAGAGCAACUACUAGGAGGGCAGAGGGAAAAGGAGACCUUUUGUUGCUGCAGGCACUGGGGGAGGAGAGGGUUUCUUUGUUGUCUGAACCCUUCUGCCCAACCGUAGGCCAUGCAGCAGCCACUGAUAUGCAUUGAGAAGGGAGGUACGAUCUUCCACUGGUUUUUGUGAGCGGUACAAUGAUUACAUAUGGAAAAGUAUGACACUCCAAUUAAGUUGUGUCUCUGCCUGUAAGGUGGACUGACAGGCAAGUCAGACAAAGAGAAAGCUGUUGCUAAACAACUCAGAGGAGGCUUGAAAAACACACGCAUUGAAACUGUAGUUUCUAGUUACUGCUAUGGGCAACAUACUUUGGCAACAGUAUUUAUUUGUCCAACAAACAACUCAUUCCUUCACUUGCAGACUUCUGUCAGAGGUGCUUUCAACAUGGAGAAGGCCAGAAAUUCAGCCGUGCCCUGAGACACAGCACACUGAGGGCAAGUCUUUGGAGAGUUCACCACGAAACUGUACAUCUUGUACUAGGUAGUAAGGUGUUGCAAGACCUUCCAUAUUCCUCAGUUCUAGUUACAAAAGACUGCAAUGUAUCAAAUUAGCAAUAAAAACAAUGAACCAUUAAAACAAACAAUCCAACCUUGAA